GCCAGACUCCUACGGGAGGCAGCAGUGAGGAAUAUUGGUCAAUGGGCGAGAGCCUGAACCAGCCAAGUCGCGUGAGGGAGGACGGCCCUACGGGUUGUAAACCUCUUUUGCCGGGGGACAAACGGCGGCACGCGUGCCGUCCUGAGGGUACCCGGAGAAAAAGCAUCGGCUAACUCCGUGCCAGCAGCCGCGGUAAUACGGAGGAUGCGAGCGUUAUCCGGAUUUAUUGGGUUUAAAGGGUGCGUAGGCGGAAUGCCAAGUCAGCGGUAAAAUCGCGGGGCUCAACCUCGCUCCGCCGUUGAAACUGGCGUUCUUGAGUGGGCGAGAAGUAUGCGGAAUGCGUGGUGUAGCGGUGAAAUGCAUAGAUAUCACGCAGAACUCCGAUUGCGAAGGCAGCAUACCGGCGCCCAACUGACGCUGAAGCACGAAAGCGUGGGUAUCGAACAGGAUUAGAUACCCGAGUA
rnacentral:rRNA from 1 species